GACGGUACCGGGAGAAUAAGCCCCGGCUAACUUCGUGCCAGCAGCCGCGGUAAUACGAAGGGGGCUAGCGUUGUUCGGAAUCACUGGGCGUAAAGCGCACGUAGGCGGAUCUUUAAGUCAGGGGUGAAAUCCCGAGGCUCAACCUGGGAACUGCCUUUGAUACUGGGGAUCUUGAGUCCGGGAGAGGUGAGUGGAACUGCGAGUGUAGAGGUGAAAUUCGUAGAUAUUCGGAAGAACACCAGUGGCGAAGGCGGCUCACUGGCCCGGUACUGACGGUGAGGUGCGAAAGCGUGGGGAGCAAACAGGAUUAG
rnacentral:rRNA from 1 species